rnacentral:pre_miRNA from 1 species
UCCCGAUAUGCAAGUACUUGCUGUAUCCUAGAUGAAGUAAGUGCUUAUCAUAUUGGGAUU